UACACUCUACACAGCAGGGGUGAAGGCGCCUCAUUAGCUAGACAAGGAAUCAUGAGGAGACACUGGCGAACUCUGCUGGGGUUUCUGUGGGUUCAGGUUUGCUGGGUGAGAGGGCUGGAGGUGGAGCAGAGCCCUUCAGCCCUGAGCCUCCAGGAGGGAGCCAGCUCUACUCUGAAGUGCAAUUUUUCUAGCACAGUGAACAAUGUGCAGUGGUUCCGACAGAACCCCGGGGGUGGCGGCCUCACCCGGCUGUUUUACAUAGCCUCGGGGAUGAAGCAGAGUGGAAGGCUAAACUGCACGGUGAAUGCUAAGGAACGGUCCAGCACCCUCCACCUCACAGACUCCCAACUGGAAGACUCAGCCACCUACCUGUGUGCAGUGGAGGCACAGUGCUCCCUGGUGAUCUGCAGCCUGCACCCAAACUGCAGCUGAGCCUGCAGCCCCAGCUCUUCCUUGGGGCGGGCAUUUGCCCCCACAGGAAGCUUUGCACAUUUUCAGAUUUUCAGAUUUAUGUAACAGUACCUUU